AAUAUUGGAUAAUGGGGGCAACCCUGAUCCAGCCAAGCCGCGUGUGUGAAGAAGGUCNNNGGAUUNUUAAGCACUCUAAGUUGNGAGNAAGGGCUUUAGGUUAAUACCCUGAAGUCUGGACGUUACCAACAGAAUAAGCACCGGCUAACUUUGUGCCAGCAGCCGCGGUAAUACAGAGGGUGCAAGCGUUAAUCGGAAUUACUGGGCGUAAAGCGCGCGUAGGUGGUUCAGUAAGUUAGGUGUGAAAUCCCCGGGCUUAACCUGGGAACUGCGUUCAUAACUGCUGAGCUAGAGUACGGUAGAGGGUAGUGGAAUUUCCUGUGUAGCGGUGAAAUGCGUGGAUAUAGGAAGGAACACCAGUGGCGAGGGCGACUACCUGGACUGAUACUGACACUGAGGUGCGAAAGCGUGGGGAGCAAACA
rnacentral:rRNA from 1 species